UACGUAGGGGGCAAGCGUUGUCCGGAAUCAUUGGGCGUAAAGCGCGCGUAGGUGGCCCGGUAAGUCCGCUCUGAAAGUCAAAGGCUCAACCUUUGAAAGCGGGUGGAUACUGUCGGGCUAGAGUCCGGAAGAGGCGAGUGGAAUUCCUGGUGUAGCGGUGAAAUGCGCAGAUAUCAGGAGGAACACCUAUUGCGAAGGCAGCUCGCUGGGACGUUACUGACGCUGAGGCGCGAAAGCUAGGGGAGCAAACGGG
rnacentral:rRNA from 1 species